CGGCAGUAUCACGUUGUAACACCAGUUCUCUUAAGUUAAGAAACAUCGAGCCUGGUCAGUACCAAGAUGGGUGACCGCUUGGGAAUAUCAGGUGUUGUAAG